rnacentral:lncRNA from 1 species
UCAUCGUACUGCCUUCAACAAUGAACAGGGCCCAUACCGCAUUAAUAACGAUAAGUCAAUUUACUGCCUUCAACAAUGAGCGGAGCCCAUGCCGCAUAAAUAACAGUCACUUUUCUGCCUUCAACAAUGAGCAGGGCCCAUACUGCAUUAAUAACAAAAGUCAUGUACUGUCUUCAACAAUGAGCAGAGCCCAUACCGCAUUAGUGAGUAAAUAAAGACCCAAAAGAAAAAUGUUAAACAAGUCAAACGAGAAAACAGUAGGCAUAAUUUAUGUACAUUUAUUUUUUAUUUUUUUUAUAGUAAUGCCGAUUUAAGUGUAUCAAACAAUUUAAGAAAUAUUUAAGACUGUUGAAAGAAUUUGCACGUGUAAAUACUUUAAUCGAAGCCAUCGACUCUGAUUGGAUUUAUUCUAAAGCUAUCGCGUCAUCCGCCACAAAAUUUGUCAUUGUCUUUUAACUCUCAUAUAGUGUAUUUCAUUUACCGUACACCUUAGCUGAGCCAUCUAACACAUAGUGUAUAAUUGUGUAUAAUUAGUGGUAGAAUCUAUAAAGAUAAGGUUGACGAAUUUGCACUUAAUGCCCUCGUGUGUAUCUUGUGUGUAAUAACGCUAGGUGCGUCUUCAAACGACUGCAUGGUUAUAUAGUACAUUAAAGCAGAGACAUGUAAAAAAGGUCACAGUGCGAUGUGAAAUUCAAAUUAAAUAUAUGACGUCAAAUUAUAAUAAUAAAUAAUCCUUUCAGUAAUUUUAUCUCACCAUCCACAGGCACUUGUUUCUGUCAAUGUGGGGUUUACUAUCCAUACCAGUACAAAAAAAAACACAAGGUAGCUAACGGAAAUUUUCAAUGUGUUCGCUUCAACCAAUAUUUUUUUAAUUUCCCUUGAUUUUUUCACAAAUAAAAGUACACCAGUCUGUCGGUAAUUGAUUUAUCUUUACAAUGAAACAACUUUCACGUACCUUGAGAAUACCCCUCAAACAGAAUAACACACUUCAGAUGAGAAUUAUUGACCUUUUUCCAGACCAUUGAAUUUGUAAGGACUUAACUUCCGGUAAACGUAGGAAGUUAAUAUAACUGUGCAAUCCCAUUGGUUUAAUUCAUCUGGUUACCUGUUUAUUUAUACUAGUUACCAGUAACCAGAAAAAUGUGACCAUUACUAUGUCUCUUCGAUAGUUUCAUAUCAAAAUAUUAGAAUAUGAUAUGCGGAUGUCAAUGAUUUUUUACGAUUACAUUUUUUGAAACUUUUACAUAUCUACAAGAUUGGCUAGUGCAAUGUAAUGCUGACGAGUCAUGUGACGUUGAUGUGCGGGAAACGAGAACCGGAUCCGAAUGAGGCAGUAAUCAUUUCUCUUUAAUUAAAUUGGUUUAUCUUAUAAAUGAGAUAAACCGUAUUAAUUCUUAAAA